rnacentral:rRNA from 1 species
CAUACGACCGUACCGCAAACCGACACUGGUGCGCGAGAUGAGUAUUCUAAGGCGCUUGAGAGAACUCAGGAGAAGGAACUCGGCAAAUUGACACCGUAACUUCGGAAGAAGGUGUGCCCUAUUAGUGUGUAGUGAACAACGAAGCAUGAAUGGGUUGCAAAAAAUCGGUGGCUGCGACUGUUUAUUAAAAACACAGCACUCUGCAAACACGAAAGUGGACGUAUAGGGUGUGACGCCUGCCCGGUGCUGGAAGAUUAAAUGAUGGGGUGCAAGCUCUUGAUUGAAGUCCCAGUAAACGGCGGCCGUAACCAUAACGGUCCUAAGGUAGCGAAAUUCCUUGUCGGGUAAGUUCCGACCUGCACGAAUGGCGUAACGAUGGCCACUCUGUCUCCUCCUGAGACUCAGCGAAGUUGAAAUGUUUGUGAUGAUGCAAUCUCCCCGCGGAAAGACGGAAAGACCCCAUGAACCUUUACUGUAGCUUUGUAUUGGACUUUGAACAGAUCUGUGUAGGAUAGGUGGGAGGCUUUGAAGCAGGGUCGCUAGAUCUUGUGGAGCCAACGUUGAAAUACCACCCUGGUGUGUUUGAGGUUCUAACCUAGGUCCAUUAUCUGGAUCGGGGACAGUGCAUGGUAGGCAGUUUGACUGGGGCGGUCUCCUCCCAAAGCGUAACGGAGGAGUUCGAAGGUACGCUAGUUACGGUCGGACAUCGUGACGAUAGUGCAAUGGCAUAAGCGUGCUUAACUGCGAGACUGACAAGUCGAGCAGAUGCGAAAGCAGGACAUAGUGAUCCGGUGGUUCUGUAUGGAAGGGCCAUCGCUCAACGGAUAAAAGGUACUCUGGGGAUAACUGGCUGAUACCGCCCAAGAGUUCAUAUCGACGGCGGUGUUUGGCACCUCGAUGUCGGCUCAUCUCAUCCUGGGGCUGUAGCCGGUCCCAAGGGUAUGGCUGUUCGCCAUUUAAAGAGGUACGUGAGCUGGGUUUAAAACGUCGUGAGACAGUUUGGUCCCUAUCUUCCGUGGGCGCUGCAGAUUUGAGGAAGCCUGCUCCUAGUACGAGAGGACCGGAGUGGACACACCUCUGGUGUAUCGGUUGUCACGCCAGUGGCAUUGCCGAGUAGCUAAGUGUGGAAGAGAUAACCGCUGAAAGCAUCUAAGCGGGAAACUCGUUUCAAGAUGAGAUCUGCCGGGGCCUUGAGCCCCCUAAAGAGUCGUUCAAGACCAGGACGUUGAUAGGUCAGGUGUGGAAGC